rnacentral:lncRNA from 1 species
AUUAAUUUGUGAGGGAUACCAUAACAAAACGCCACAGACUGGGUGACUUAAACCAUGAUUUAUUCUCUCUCAAUUAUGAGGAUUGAAGCCUGAGCUCAACAUUUCAGCAGGGUUAGUUUUUUCCAAGUCCUCUCUCCUCGGCUUGUAGACAGGAAUCUUCUGCCUGUGUCUUCACGUGGUCUUCCAUCUGUGUGCAUGUUUGUGUCUUAAUCUCCUUUACUCAUAAGGACCCUGGUCAUAUUGGAUUAGGGCCAAAUCUAAUGAUCUCAUUUUAACUUAAAGACCCUUUUAAGACCCUUUAAAGACCCUAUUUCCAAAGAGAGUCACAUUCUGGGGUACUGGGGAUCAGGAUUUUAACAUACGAAAUUUGGGAGGGAUACUACUCAGCCCCUAACACUUUUUCUUUUGUAUGCCCUCCUCACUAUUUUUUUGGUAGAAUUUUGAUGUUCUUAUUCAUUGAGAUGCUGGUAAAUGAAAGAUGCCCCUCACCACCAUUACAAAAGAUGAGAAGACUGUCCUGAUGGAGUUCCUCUUUUCCAUCAUCAUUCAGUCAAGUCAUUGGCUGUAUACAAGGUACAACAGACAUCAGCUCAUGGGAAGACUUUUGGUUGACCCAGUCCGGAGCAUCUAUUAUCUGUCUGUCAUCUGUAAAUGGUAUCCAGGAGUCAGAGUCAAGCUGGAAAACCUUGACUGCUUCCUGUUCAAUCACAUGGAUAAGGAAAAGGGGAAAUGUGAAGAAAAAUAAUUAGGCUAGUUAUCUGAAAACUAGGGAAUGGGAAAGAAGGGAGGCAGAGACAAAUUAAUAAGUAUCCAUAUGGCUACUUGUGUCAUGUUUGUCAAUUCUUAAUCCAAAAAUUGGGAAAAUAUGGGAAGAAAUAUUGUAGGCGUAAGGCUAAAUAGUUCUUUUCUUUUAUUUUGAGCAAUAUGUGUUUGAAUCUGGCAUUAGCCUAUCAAAAGUAUCUGGAUACUUAUUCAACUAUUAAUUAAUUCUUUCCACAUGCCCUCUGUUCAUUCAUUUAUUCAUCAUUCAUUCUUGCUGAAAGUCCUUUUGUUUAUUUAUUGAAGGGCUAGAGAAUUAGAAUCAGAUAGGAACAUAAAGGCAAGAAAUGCAUCCAGUGCAAAACUCAAGGGUAGCGGUUGUGUUGGGCAGGGUAUGCUAACUGCUAACAUGCACACAUACACACAAUCACGAUGGCUCAAUGCAAAAAUUCUUUAUUUGAGUUGGGGAGACCUGUUUCAUGCUGAUAUUUAGGGACUCAGGCUCUUUCUAACUAAUGACUCUGCCAUUCCCUAGACCCCUAGAGAGUUCUGCUGGAUCUCUUGCAUCUGGCCAGCUAAUAAAUGAAGAGAAAGAAUGGGAGGCUCUCA